ACAAAACUCAUAAUUCUUUGCACAAUCAAGAAACAUAUAUUAAAAGUAAAAUAAGAAUAACCACCAAACAAACACAAACCCGAAAUGCACAUUGAAAACCAUCUUCUCUUCCACAAAUUCAUAAAAAUUAGCCAGAUUCGAGACCAAAAACUAAGCAUAGAAAAAUCAAUUUCGCCCAAUUUUUGAAAAAUAUAAGCUCCAAAACACCCCCCCACACUUAAAGCAUGCCAUGUCCUCAGGGCAUAAAAGAAAUAAGAAGAGUGUAGAAAACAUCCCUGAUUAUUGGCAUUGACAAACUGAAUCAUCGUGAAAGGCGGCGAAAUGGGGUUUGCGGUCUGUUGCAGAGGGAGAGUGGCGGCGCUGGGUAGGGCAGCGAAGAGUGGAAAAGGCUGCGCUGGACAGGGCAGCGAAGAGAGCGGCUCCUCUGGACAUGAAGACCUCCAGAAAUCUGGCAGAGAAACACCUGUUCCUCUGGCGGUGGCAUGAAUAAAGCGCGAGAACUCGCAACUUCCAAACACCGCACUAAAAACCCAAACAAAACAAAGAAACAAAGAAAAACAAAACGAAACUGAAAGAAAAACAAAACAAAAACAAACAGUUGGGUUACCUCCCAACAAGUGCUUAAUUUAACGUCUAGAGCUCGACGAUACCUUCAAUCACGGAUCAACGAAGUUGACCACUUCCACGUCGCGGUCCAACUUUGCUUUGAAGUAUGGUUUGAGGCGAUGGCCAUUAACAGUGAAAGUAGACCCAUUCGAC
rnacentral:lncRNA from 1 species